GCCAUCCUUUUCUUGGGGUUGUGCUACUGUCCAAUGAACAUAUAGUGAGGACAGUACUGCUAAAACCUAAAAAAAACCCCACAAAUCAAAGGGGACAUCUGUAAUACUUUCAACA